GGGGGGGGGGGGGGGGGGGGGGGGGGGGGGGGGGGCGGGCGGGGGGGCGGCGGGCGGGGUGGGGGGGGGGGGUGAGGGGCGAACGGGGGAGGAACGCGUGAGGAACGUGCCGCCGUCUGCGGGAGGACCGCGGGAAAGGGUGGCGAAUACGGGAUAUGCUGGAUCUGUCGCAUGAGGGGUCUGGGACAUAGAUUCUUUCGGUGGGGCAUGGGCUCGCGGCCUAUCAGCUUGUUGGUGGGGGGAUGGCCUACCAAGGCGGUGACGGGUAGCCGGCCUGAGAGGGUGGACGGUCACACUGGGACUGAGACACGGCGCAGACUCCUACGGGAGGCAGCAGUGGGGAAUAUUGCACAAUGGGCGAAAGCCUGAUGCAGCGACGCCGCGUGAGGGAUGGAGGCCUUCGGGUUGUGAACCUCUUUCGCCAGUGAAGCAGGCCUGCCUCGUGUGUGGGUGGGUUGACGGUAGCUGGAUAAGAAGCGCCGGCUAACUACGUG
rnacentral:rRNA from 1 species